rnacentral:tRNA from 1 species
UCUAAUGUGGCAGAAUAGUGCCUUGGAUUUAAGCUCCAAUCAUAAAGAUUGCCUUUCUUUAGAA